UAAGGAAUAUUGGUCAAUGGACGCAAGUCUGAACCAGCCAUGCAGCGUGAAGGAUUAAGGCCCUCUGGGUUGUAAACUUCUUUUAUAGGGGAAGAAAUGUGACGGUUCUCCGUCACUUGACGGUACCCUGGGAAUAAGCACCGGCUAACUCCGUGCCAGCAGCCGCGGUAAUACGGAGGGUGCAAGCGUUAUCCGGAUUCACUGGGUUUAAAGGGUGCGUAGGUGGGCAGAUAAGUCAGUGGUGAAAUCUUCCGGCUUAACCGGGAAACUGCCGUUGAUACUAUUUGGCUUGAAUACUGCGGAGGUAAGCGGAAUAUGUCAUGUAGCGGUGAAAUGCUUAGAUAUGACAUAGAACACCAAUUGCGAAGACAGCUUACUACGCAAUCAUUGACACUGAGGCACGAAAGCCUGGGUAGCGA
rnacentral:rRNA from 1 species